UUAAUUCUAUCUAUAUUGAUUUUUUGUGUGUUAAUUUUUUGUUUUUUCUCUCUUUCUUUUGAGUUUGUUUGUUUAUUUGAUCUUUUAUUAGAAUUUUCAAAGUUUCAGGUUAAAAUCGAUCAACGACCGACAUGACAACGGAAUGUGUAACCAAAAAACAUGCAACGGAAGAUCUAUCAUAGGCAAAAGAAGGAUACAAGAUUGCAAUGAAGUAUUGAAUGAGUUGAAUUAGUGAAACAUAAAUUACUCUAUACUUUUUUAUUGUACAGGAAUCUGGUCUUUUCAAGGAUUACUCAUCCAUAUGAGGCUCAUCAGUAGAAAGAGGGGAAAAAAUUAUAUUCAAAUUCAUUGAACAAGACUAUGU